rnacentral:rRNA from 2 species
UGGAUCCAGACUUUGAUUAUGGCUCAGGAUGAACGCUAGCUACAGGCUUAACACAUGCAAGUCGAGGGGAAACGACAUCGAAAGCUUGCUUUUGAUGGGCGUCGACCGGCGCACGGGUGAGUAACGCGUAUCCAACCUACCCACCACUUGGGGAUAACCUUGCGAAAGUAAGACUAAUACCCAAUGAUAUCUCUAGAAGACAUCUGAAAGAGAUUAAAGAUUUAUCGGUGAUGGAUGGGGAUGCGUCUGAUUAGCUUGUUGGCGGGGUAACGGCCCACCAAGGCUACGAUCAGUAGGGGUUCUGAGAGGAAGGUCCCCCACAUUGGAACUGAGACACGGUCCAAACUCCUACGGGAGGCAGCAGUGAGGAAUAUUGGUCAAUGGACGAGAGUCUGAACCAGCCAAGUAGCGUGCAGGAUGACGGCCCUAUGGGUUGUAAACUGCUUUUAUAAGGGAAUAAAGUGAGUCUCGUGAGACUUUUUGCAUGUACCUUAUGAAUAAGGACCGGCUAAUUCCGUGCCAGCAGCCGCGGUAAUACGGAAGGUCCGGGCGUUAUCCGGAUUUAUUGGGUUUAAAGGGAGCGUAGGCCGGAGAUUAAGCGUGUUGUGAAAUGUAGACGCUCAACGUCUGCACUGCAGCGCGAACUGGUUUCCUUGAGUACGCACAAAGUGGGCGGAGUUCGUGGUGUAGCGGUGAAAUGCUUAGAUAUCACGAAGAACUCCGAUUGCGAAGGCAGCUCACUGGAGCGCAACUGACGCUGAAGCUCGAAAGUGCGGGUAUCGAACAGGAUUAGAUACCCUGGUAGUCCGCACGGUAAACGAUGGAUGCCCGCUGUUGGUCUGAAUAGGUCAGCGGCCAAGCGAAAGCAUUAAGCAUCCCACCUGGGGAGUACGCCGGCAACGGUGCAACUCAAAGGAAUUGACGGA